GACGAACGCUGGCGGCGUGCUUAACACAUGCAAGUCGAACGGAAAGGCCCUGCUUUUGUGGGGUGCUCGAGUGGCGAACGGGUGAGUAACACGUGAGUAACCUGCCCUUGACUUUGGGAUAACUUCAGGAAACUGGGGCUAAUACCGGAUAGGAGCUCCUGCUGCAUGGUGGGGGUUGGAAAGUUUCGGCGGUUGGGGAUGGACUCGCGGCUUAUCAGCUUGUUGGUGGGGUAGUGGCUUACCAAGGCUUUGACGGGUAGCCGGCCUGAGAGGGUGACUGGCCACAUUGGGACUGAGAUACGGCCCAGACUCCUACGGGAGGCAGCAGUGGGGAAUAUUGCACAAUGGGCGGAAGCCCGAUGCAGCAACGCCGCGUGCGGGAUGACGGCCUUCGGGUUGUAAACCGCUUUCGCCUGUGACGAAGCGUGAGUGACGGUAAUGGGUAAAGAAGCACCGGCUAACUACGUG
rnacentral:rRNA from 1 species